AAUGAACGUUGGCGGCGUGGAUUAGGCAUGCAAGUCGAGCGAGAACCCAGCAAUGGGGGACAGCGGCGCAAGGGACAGUAAUGUGUAGAUUAUCUGCCCUCGGGUCCGGGAUAGCUGCGGGAAACUGCAGGUAAUACCGGAUAACAUCUCCGGAUCAAAGGUGUGACUCCGCCCGAGGAUGAGUCUGCAUCCUAUUAGCUAGUUGGCAGGGUAAUGGCCUACCAAGGCGAUGAUGGGUAGCGGGUGUGCGAGCACGACCCGGGUCAUUGGGGAUGAGACACGGCCCAGACACCUACGGGUGGCUGAAGUCGAGAAUCUUCGGCAAUGGGCGCAAGCCUGACCGAGCGACGCCGCGUGUGGGAUGAAGGACUUCGGGUUGUAAACCACUGUCAGAGGGGAUGAAAUGCAGGUGGGUUCUCCCAUCUGUUUGACAUAGCCUCAGAGGAAGGACGGGCUAAGUUCGUGCCAGCCGCCGCAGUAAUAC
rnacentral:rRNA from 1 species